GUCUUGCUUUGGCAGGACAUCUACUAAAAUUGGGACAAAACAGAAAGGAUUAGCAGAGCUUCUGCUCAAGGAUGACAUGCAAAUUUUUGAAGCAUUUUAUCUUUAA
rnacentral:snRNA from 1 species